GAUGAACGCUGGCGGCGUGCCUAAUACAUGCAAGUCGAGCGAACAGACGAGGAGCUUGCUCCGCUGACGUUAGCGGCGGACGGGUGAGUAACACGUGGAUAACCUACCUAUAAGACUGGGAUAACUUCGGGAAACCGGAGCUAAUACCGGAUAAUAUAUUGAACCGCAUGGGUCAAUAGUGAAAGACGGUGUUGCGGUCACUUAUAGAUGGAUCCGCGCCGCAUUAGCUAGUUGGUAAGGUAACGGGUUACCACGGCAACGAUGCGUAGCCGAACUGAGAGGGUGAUCGGCCACACUGGAGCUGAGACACGGUCCAGGCUCCUACGGGAGGCAGCAGUAGGGAACCUUCCGCAAUGGGCGAAAGCAUGACGGAGCAACGCCGCGUGAGUGAUGAAGGUCUUCGGAUCGUAAAACUCUGUUACUAGGGAAGAACAAAUGUGUAAGUAACUAUGCACGUCUUGACGGUACCUAAUCAGAAAGCCACGGCUAACUACGUG
rnacentral:rRNA from 1 species